GAUGUGGGUGAACAAGUGUGAUACGUGUCUUGGAAUUUUAUAGCCCUCGAGCAGAAGUCAAUGGUACUCGCUCGAGUCACCGAUGUCAAGCAACUAUCAAGGCCGAGCGUGAUCCGACUGAACGCGGAUCAAUAUUAUGGCAAAAGGAAAAGUACUGGUCGGCCGUCAUCGCUAUCCGAUCGUGAUAAGCGAGCAAUUUUGAGCGUAGCUUCCAACACGCAGUUAACAACGAAGCCAAUAAUGGAAAAAUCUAGUGUUAUUGCCAGUGUUUCAAGUGUUCGUCGAGUUCCACUUGAUUGGAAAGUAUAUUCGAUACAUGUAUGUUUACCGUAGAUCUAUAGACUAUUUUCUUUUUUCAGGAAGCUUCUCAAUUAAGUAACAUUAAAUCUCUUGAAGUUGGAGAUGCGGGAUACAAAGGGAAGGGGACGAGAUAAACGUAUUUGUAUCCCGCAGCGAAUGCGAAAUAAAAUGGCAGAAAGAAAGGUAGAUACCUCACUGGUAACUCGAUUUUCUAGGUUUCUCUCUUUUGGUGUAGUUCGACCUCUUGCCUUUUCUCGUCCCCGAAAAUGCAUCCUGUCACCUACCAAACGAUAAUGUAUUUUCUGAUAGGGCUACGGGGAACGUUUUAAAUCUGAUUGAAACGACAACGCUUUCAUUCAAUGCAUGCUGGAAACCGAGCUUGCCUGCUGGCAUCCUGUGUUCUGAACCUUUUAACUUUAUCUUAUAUCGCGAUUCCGCAUAAUCUUGUAAAUUUUUGCCUGUGUCUUUUCCCGCUUUAUCAGAAUCUUUUAUAAGACGUUCGCGGAAAUUUUCCGAAAAAUCGUUGUCCCAAAAAAUUAGGUUGCAUUCGGUGCUUCAGCUCUGUCGCGCAUUUUACCAAAUAUUAUUUCAACAAUGGCUAUUCAUUGGAGGAUCAGCAGGAUUUACGGUGUCUUAACUUGUCCGGGAAGGGUUGUCCGGAAAAGGAAAGGAAGAAUUUCUUUCGAGGGCUGCGCGUGACAGCGGGUUCCGAUUCUUGCGAGGCAGUUCCGUCGGGACAAAAAGGCCAUUACUCGUGGACGAAUAUUUUUGACACAAUAACUUGCUUUCCGCUAUUCGUGGGCUAUUUAGUAAAACUUCACCGUUGGUUACCUUUUUCUAUAUAAAUUCCACGAAGAAAAAUCGAUGUUGAACGGUUCUUAGAAUUUCGCGUGUUGAGUACUUCUUCAAGUUUUUUUUUUUUUUUUUAAAGACGAAAUCGAGAUUUAACGAAUUAUUCGAAGAACAGAAUUAUUCGAUGAUGACUAUCGAUCUUUCGACGAAAUAUAAUUUUCCCCUUUCGACGUAAUUUAGCAUACUUUUGCUCGCAUGCAACCGGCGUGUGAGAAUCGAACUGCGAAGUACUUUGAUUUUACUCGACCACGUUUAACGAAUUGCUCAACCUAUCGAAGAGCGCAUUUCAUUGCCAGGUUAGAUUGUCCCUGUCUGAAUUAAGCAGCAGUAAACGGUAGAAACUAAUUUAUAGGCUGACUUGCCGAGAAUCUCAGAUUUUGAUUAUCUCGUGGAACGAUCGAAUCUCCUUUUUCGUUUGAAAUUUUACCACGGCAUCGGCUACGAUCAAUUCUAGGAUUUGCUCGAUGAGAUUGCAACAUGUUCCUCUGGACAACUGAUCAAUUUCUCCAAGAGUGGUCUGUUAUUGCUGAUAAAUUUCGUUGUUGUAACGUCAUCGAGAAUGAGCUCGUCUUUCGACAUAUCAAAACACCUUUUGGAAGAUUUCUUCGCUAAAUAUCUCGCGCGUACAACUCAUUGCUGACAUAUGCAACUAAAUCUUCACGCGCAUUCUACGAAUCGCUGUACAUUCUGCAAGGAUAAUUUAGCAGGAACGUUCGUUCGAUUCUCAAUAUUUCGUCGUCGCGCGAAAUCUCACUGCCGCAAUAUUUCAAAAAAUAACUUUUAUCUAAUCCUGUAGCGAGUUUGCUGCAGACGAGGAAUUCUCGUAAUCCCGUAGAAUCUCAAUCGUCUCGCGCGACUCUUCAAAUAAAGUUUUCAUAAGUUUUCUUCUAGCCAAACGAUGAAAGAAUGGCAGGAAAUCUUUUGCCAUUGGAAGUAACGAAUCACGCUUUUCCUAACUUUUCAAUCUUAGUAAGAUAGCAUCGGUGUUACGCAAGCUGCCAUUACGAGAAGAAGAUAAAGAGUGUUAGAAGAAAAGAAGAGCGUAGCGACGAUGACAGCGCUGAUAACGAUGCAGUGACAAACACAGUACGAAGGAUUUUGCGUUCGCCUAUGUAUCGCUCAUCCGUACCGAUAACAUCUUAUUAAUAUUGCACGAUGAGGUUUCCACGAUGAUUUCGUCGACAAUGUGUCGUUUUCGAAUACGUUAUCGAUUCGAACUUUCUUCAUAUUCUACGGACACACUAUGAUUAUUAGAACGGAAGCGAACGUCUGCGAUAAAAGGGAUGCAAGAAGUAUCAGAAAUAUGGAAGAAAUAAAAUGAAGGAAAAAGCUUAAUAAUUAAAGCAUCCUCUCGCAACACGAUUUUACUUUUUCGUUUGAUUAAAUGAGACAACCUGUACCCGGUUCGAUACACGUCGCACGUUGCACAUGCACAAUGUAUUAUAUCAAUAACUACCGUGAAACGUCGGCAAAGUUGAUUACAACAGCUUAACGAAAGCCGUUGAUGAGUUUUCCAUUUCACGAUGGCCUCGACUGCAACGUAUCUCUCGGCAAGAAUUUUUUAAUCCGAUAUCCGUGCAUCGUCGAGUAUUUUUGUGCAAUUUUCUUUCGUAACGCACCUGUUCUUCUUUCGCAUCUUUGAAUAGACGUACGCUUGUUCGAAUGGCACGACGAAUUCCGACUGUUUUUCGUUUUCAAGAUUGAUUAUACUCGAACGACGCGUUAGGGAAACAAUGUGAAAAAUGUUAGUCCGUCAGGCUGUUAGAUAUGUACAUCAACAUGGAUGGAUGGAUGGAUGGAUUGAACCCAAUGGUUGAAUUUAUAAUCGUCAAACUCGAAUUUCGAAAUCUUCUCCGACGGGAAAAUUGCAAUAACUCCGUUUUUUAAAAUCAUCUUUGUUCGCCUAAAAGGAAAAAGUAUUUCUGCAAUCUUGAAAUAUGAAUAUCAAGCACAAUUACGACAACCAUGAUACUGAACUUUGGUGGAGAUAAUUGCAUCUUUGUGUUCAUUUGUUGCGGUAUAACGUGCGACAGCUUCGUUUCCUUUCUAUUUUCAAAAGCGACAUGGUGAAUAUGCUAUACGACGGAGUACGUCACUAUGACGAGUGUUUCAGAAGCCAGUAUCGAUUACGCUUUGCGUAUAGUUCUCAGUUUUGUUAUCCAGGUACAAGAUUAAUAUUCAAUUCUUAAAGAAAAUGAUCUACCUGCGUAAGUUCAUGCAUCGGAAAACGUACCACAAAUAACAAUAGGUACGAUUCUUCUUUACUAUGAUGUACACGUAACCGUAUAAUAUGUCGUCCGAUUAAUCCUAAAAUCGUGUUGAAUGCGAUGAAAUGUGCGUUUAAUUACAGAGAAAAUUUCAUAUAU